GACGAACGCUGGCGGCGUGCUUAACACAUGCAAGUCGAACGCUGAAGCUCAGCUUUUGUUGGGUGGAUGAGUGGCGAACGGGUGAGUAACACGUGAGUAACCUGCCCCCUUCUUUGGGAUAACGCCCGGAAACGGGUGCUAAUACUGGAUAUUCACUGGUCUUCGCAUGGGGGUUGGUGGAAAGGGUUUUUCUGGUGGGGGAUGGGCUCGCGGCCUAUCAGCUUGUUGGUGGGGUGAUGGCCUACCAAGGCUUUGACGGGUAGCCGGCCUGAGAGGGUGACCGGUCACAUUGGGACUGAGAGACGGCCCAGACUCCUACGGGAGGCAGCAGUGGGGAAUAUUGCACAAUGGGCGCAAGCCUGAUGCAGCGACGCCGCGUGAGGGAUGGAGGCCUUCGGGUUGUGAACCUCUUUCGCUCAUGGUCAAGCCGCAACAAUGGUUGUGGUGAGGGUAGUGGGUAAAGAAGCGCCGGCUAACUACGUG
rnacentral:rRNA from 1 species